UACUCUAUACUCUCUGGAUGGUGUAUGAGACUGAAUGUUUGAGCAGUGAGAGGUUGAGGUCCUUAAAUAGCUGCAGACCAUCAAUGCAGCAGAAAUCCCAAA